rnacentral:lncRNA from 1 species
UUUAUAUUGAUGUUCUUUUCUUUGCACUGCUAUAAAUGUGUAUAAAAUCAUAUCUAAUCUCAGUAACUCUGACAGUUUCCAUGAUGCCAGCAACAAUACCAGUACCCACGCAUGCAUCUAAAGUAAGGGUCCCCAGCUAAAGAAAAGAAGGCAAAGAGAUCUUGAAAUAAAAUCUGACCCAUCUCUCAGGAAAGAUGCACAUCCCUAAAAAUACCCAGGAAGAAAAGCACUGGAAUGACAGACAUCCUCUGAUAACUUAGCUGAGUGUCCUGCUUUGUCCCAAACACAUGGAAAGAAAGAGUUUUGUACUUCCAAGAACCAACAUCCUCAGGUGAUUGGAGGAGAAAAGGUGGCAUGGAGGUUUCUAUGGGAGGCGAUUUUUGGGAGCAGAUCCUUGUCUGGAGCACUUCUAGAAAAUGCUUACUCAUCCAUCACCCACUAUGGGGCAGCUGAUAACUCCAGGGUGAAGGGCCUGAGUUGCUCAUUCUUCCUCAACAGGCAUACUGAAGAAGU